rnacentral:rRNA from 1 species
AGCAGCCGCGGUAAUUCCAGCUCCAAUAGCGUAUAUUAAAGUUGUUGCAGUUAAAAAGCUCGUAGUUGAAUUUCGGGGUUCAUCCGUUGGUCGGGCUUUUUUGGUCUGUACUGGCGUGAUGGAUUCCUACCUUCUGAAUAACCAGCAUGUCAUUAAUUUGGUGCGCUGGGGAAGCAGGACUGUUACCUUGAAAAAUUAGAGUGCUUGAAGCAGGCUAUCGCCUGAAUACAUUAGCAUGGAAUAAUGAAAUAGGACGGCAUGGUUCUAUUUUGUUGGUUUCUAGGAUCACCGUAAUGAUUAAUAGGGAUAGUUGGGGGCAUUAGUAUUCAAUUGUCAGAGGUGAAAUUCUUGGAUUUAUUGAAGACUAACUUCUGCGAAAGCAUUUGCCAAGGAUGUUUUCAUUAAUCAAGAACGAAAGUUAGGGGAUCGAAGACGAUCAGAUACCGUCGUAGUCUUAACCAUAAACUAUGCCGACUAGGGAUCGGACGAUGUUAAUUUUUAAUGACUCGUUCGCG